UGUCACGUCACGUCAAAGUCAAACUCAAACCACAAACGUCAAAUGAGGAUGGAAUUUUCGGUGUUUUGUAUUUUCUUUUCGGAAAUAUUCUUAAUUUAACUAAGUCAUGUUUAUUACUUAAGUUAGGUAAUACGUAUAACAAGAUGGACACCGCAAUAAUGGUGGAAUCCUUGCCAAUAUUCGGCACAUGCAGUUUAUGUCUAGCAGAAGGCGUUGUUAAGAGUAUGCUAAUUAAACAAAACACGGCAAAUAAAACGGAGUCCUACACUGAGAUGUUACUCAAAUGCUUUUCUAUUGAUAUGGCAGCACUGGAGCUGGAUGACACAAAGAGACUGAUAUGCUACCUGUGCAUCAAGCAGCUGGAGUCUUGUCUGCAGUUCAGAGAGCAAGUUGAGGUCUCCUUGAAGACCUUGGAGGAGACUGUCAGAGAUAAUAAGGUGCAACUGAAACUCGUAUAUGAAGACGAAUGUGUGAAAGAGGAGCAAGAUACCGACACAAAAUCAACGGAUAGAAGAAAGAAGUCUCUAAGAGAUGUGAAGAAUGAAUUAGUAUCAGCCAUCGGUCUCUCGAGAGAUAGUUUCAUUGACAACGAUUCUGAUAAUGAGCUGAUAUUCUCAAAAGUAAAACAGGAGUCUAUGGACGACAGUGACUUCGACGAUCACACGCUUCUCAACGAUAUGCUAAUAAAAAAGGAAUUAGACGACUACCCGCGUACACGGCAAAAGACGAGAAAAAAGACAUCAACCAAAAAGAGACUCUCCUACACAGCGAAAAAACAAGCGGACAUCAAAGAUACGGAAAUAAUGCUCCAAUCUGGUUUAUUUCCGUUCAAAAUAAACAAAAAUCAAAUAUACUCUUGCACUAUAUGCCCCGAAAAGUCCAGCAUACUGGACGAUAUAAAGGAUCAUAUAAUGCAACACAAUACAUCCAACAUAUCGUCCGCCUUCAAGAAAAUGAUCUCUUCCAGUAUGCAGACAUUUUACAAGUCCUCCCAAAAGUUAAAAUGCAAGUUGUGCAAAACAGAAAUACAUGAUUAUGAGUCACUCAAACGUCACAUAACUUCCUGUGUCAAUUCCCAUGCGCGAUGGAACAAUUUGCCAUUCAAAUUGGAGAAGGAUCAGUUGGAUUGUCCCAUUUGUCAGAAGACAUUUUUGAAUUUCGUCAGUUUGAACACACACAUGAAUGUACAUUAUCCGAAUCACAUUUGCGACAGCUGUGGGAAGGCUUUCGCGUCCAAAGCCAGGCUCAGAGGGCAUAUGCGGACGCAUGAAAUUGGCGAUUUUCCAUGCAGGUAUUGUGAUGCAGUCUUCGAUAGAGUCACCAAAAGGGAGAAUCACGUUUCUAAGGAACACAAAUCAGGAAUCAGGUACGCUUGCAAACGGUGUAACAUAUCACUGACAUCAUUCUACGCAAGACAGAAGCAUCUAGCAGAAGUCCACAACGAAGAGCUGAAGCGAUACAAAUGCAAGGCCUGCCCUCAGAGCUACAUCACUCCGGGACACCUCUCCUCCCACGUCCGGAGGGACCAUCUCAACGAGAGGAACCACAAAUGCAACCAGUGUGAUCUGGCAUUUUACACGAGGAACUCCUUGAAGAUGCACAUGAUCAAGCACGAUGGGGAACGGAUCCAUGCAUGCAGUAUAUGCAACAAGUCGUACCAGAGGAAGAAGACGUUGAGGGAACAUAUGCGAAUACAUACGAAUGAUAAAAGGUUUGUCUGCCCUGUCUGUGGUAGGGCUUUCACUCAGAAGUGCACUUUGAAAGGGCAUUUGAAGGUCCACGAUAGGAAGAUAGAGGAAAAGAUUCCUCAACCUUUACACUCCAUUUAAUUUAUUAUUAUUCACAACAUUAUUUCUUUUCGAAUAAAAAAAUAAUUCAUACAUACAAUAAAAGGUUUAUCUGCCCUGACUAACACACAAAAGCUGUUUCAAGUUAGUUUAGUACUCGCUAUUUUAGGAGACUGUGUAAACCUACAUUUGAAUGAUAAAAGGUUUGUGUGCCCUGUCUGCGGUAGGGCUUUCACUCAGAAGUGCACUUUGAAAGGGCAUUUGAAGGUCCAUGAUAGGAAGAUAGAGGAGAAAAUCCCUCAACCUUUACACUCCAUUUAAUUUAUCAGCAUUUUCCAGUUUUCAUUUAAAAUUUUUGGGGAAACAAAAAUUCAUACAAACAUCAAAAGGUUUGUUUAGAAACAAUAAUUCAUACAACAAAAGGUUUGUCUGCCCUGGCUAACACACAAAAUCUACUCCAAGUCAGUUUAGUACUCGUUAUUUUAGGGGAUCGAGUAAACCUACUUCUGAAUGCAAAAAGGUUUGUGCCACCUGUUUGCAGUAGUGUUUCCAUAUUGAAUUGCUCUAGCAUUUAUGGAGAAACAUGUAAAAAUACAUACGGUUUGUGUGCCCUGUCUAUGGUAGGAAGAUCAUAAUAAAGGAAAGGGUAUUUCAAACUUUACACUCCAUUUGAUUUAUCAGCACAAAAAUUCAUAUGAACGAUGAAAGGUUUGUCUGCCCUGGCUACCACACAAAAGCAACUUUUUUACUACCAAGUCUAGAAGUUUUAGGAAGCAUUUAAAAAUACAUACAACUGCUGACGGUAAUAAAAUUAUAUAAAUAAAUAAGCUUAUAUUUAUAGGUAAUAAAAAAAGUUACUUAUAUAAAACCUUAUAUAAUACGUAAUAUGUAAUAGAGUAUGAAAUAAUAAAUAUUUAUUGUUUAUAGCAUCUCAUUAUAACUAUGUAGAAAUUAUUUUUGUCCAUCUCAUAGAAGAUAAUUUUUAUUUAUCUAUGUGUUAAAUUCUGUAGAAAUUAUUUUUGUCUAUCUUAUAGAAAAUAUUUUUUAUUUAUCUUUGUGUUAAAUUAUGUAGAAAUUAAUUUUGUCCGUCUCGUAGAAGAUAUUUUAAAUUUAUCUUUAUGUAAAUUGUGUAGAAAUUAUUAUUGUCCAUCUUAUAGAAGAUGUUUUAAAUUUAUCUUUGUGUUAAAUUGUGUAGAAAUUAUUUUCGUCCAUCUUGUAGAAGAUAUUUUUUAUUUAUCUUUGUGUUAAAUUAUGUAGAAAUUAUUUUUGUCCAUCUCGUAGAAGAUAUUUUUAAUUUAUCUUUAUGUAAAAUGUAGAAAUUAUUUUUCCCAAUCACCUGUACAGAUGUAUUUUAUUAACAUUAAGUUUACAUAAAACUGUACAGUUAAAACUGUACGUAGCGCCUAAUAGUAAAUAAAUAAAUCUUUAUUUAUAAAAACUUCAUAUCACAAUUAGGUUAAAUAAGAUAAUGAUUGAUUUGAUAAUUUUUUUAAAUGUCUCUGGGUUCUGGCCCUUUUGAACUUCUAUAGUCUGAUCAGAAUUAUAAAAAAUCUCAAUUGGUUACAACAUAAAACAUUAUCAAUAAUUACAACACAAAACAUUGCAGUGCAGUGAUUAGCAGCGUGACGGUGUUAACGCUGACUAACAAAGAACUGAACUUAAGUCAUCCAAUACCCUCUUAUUUAUACCAUCCCUGUUGCAACAACUUCGUACAAAUACCUCCUUUUUUAUAAUAAUAUAAAUAAUCAAUAAUAAUACCACAUGUAUUCGAGGAACUCUUAACAUUAUAGAAGAGGUGACAUGGAACUAAUAGUACAAGAUCCAGCAUAAGAAAUAUAUACCCUCAUAUGUUAUUUAUUUGGGAUAAGAAAUAAAUGAUAGAUAAAAUAAUCCUUUGACACAUUUCAAGAAGGUUGCCUAGUAAAAUUGCGACCGCAUUAUUGAUUUUUUUUUUAAUUUAUUUAAUCUACUUCCCUCAAUGUUUAAUUUAAAAAAAUAUACACUAGUUAAAAUAAUAUACCCAACAGAAUUGAA